CUCGUAGGUGGCCAACUAAGUCAGACGUGAAAUCCCUCGGCUUAACCGAGGAACUGCGUCUGAUACUGGAUGGCUCGAGGUUGGGAGAGGGACGCGGAAUUCCAGGUGUAGCGGUGAAAUGCGUAGAUAUCUGGAGGAACACCGGUGGCGAAGGCGGCGUCCUGGACCAAUUCUGACACUGAGGAGCGAAAGCCAGGGGAGCAAACG
rnacentral:rRNA from 1 species